UAAUGCCAUACCAACCGUCCACAAUAGGGCGCAAUCCACGGCUGGGAGAUUCCGAGUUGGUGACCGUCGGAUCACAAAAUCCAGCGGCCCAGAGAGAAACCCUAACCGACCCAUAGCACUCCUCUCGCCUUUUAAGCCAUACGCAGACCCCCAUCAUUUCUCUGCUUCGUUCUCUGAACCCUGCCGCUCUCUCCUCUCAUAGGCGUGAGAGUAGCUUCUUCCUCCCCAGGUUUCAAAGAUCUGGUACUUUGAACGUGCUGUGCUGAUGGUGACGAGUGUUUAUCUGGUUUAACUGGAUUUGCUUUUGAUUCGUUUGUAUUAUUAUUAUUACAGCCGGGAUUUGUUCUUAAAUGUUUAAUGUGCUCUGGAUCUUGCUUGAGCUUGUUAUAUAAAUGCAUAAGUACGCCUAUGUACAUAUUUUCUGUUUAAA